GCGGUUCUCUACUGGUGACUGCUGGGGGCAUUUAAAUCUCUACUGGUGACUGCUGGGGGCAUUGAGAUCUUUACUGGUGCCUGCUGGGGACAUUGAGAUCUCUACUGGUGACUGCUGGAGACAUUGAGAUCUCUACUGGUGACUGCUGGAGACAUUGAGAUCUCUACUGGUGACUGCUGGGGGAGUUGAGAUCUCUACUGGUGACUGCUGGAGACAUUGAGAUCUAUACUGGUGACUGCUCAGGACAUUGAGAUCUCUACUGGUGCCUGCUGGGGGAGUUGAGAUCUCUACUGGUGACUGCUGGAGACAUUGAGAUCUAUACUGGUGACUGCUCGGGACAUUGAGAUCUCUACUGGUGCCUGCUGGGGGAGUUGAGAUCUCUACUGGUGCCUGCUUGGGAAGUUGAGAUCUCUACUGGUGACUGCUGGAGACAUUGAGAUCUAUACUGGUGACUGCUCGGGACUUUGAGAUCUCUACUGGUGCCUGCUGGGGGAGUUGAGAUCUAUACUGGUGCCUGCUGGGGAAGUUGAGAUCUCUACUGGUGACUGCUGGGGACAUUAUGAUCUCUACUGGUGACUGCUGGGGGAGUUGAGAUCUCUACUGGUGACUGCUGGGGGAGUUGAGAUCUCUACUGGUGACUGCUGGAGACAUUGAGAUCUAUACUGGUGACUGCUCGGGACAUUGAGAUUUCUACUGGUGCCUGCUGGGGACACUGAGAUUUCUACUGGUGCCUGCUGGGGACACUGAGAUCUCUACUGGUGACUGCUGGGGGCAUUGAGUUCUCUACUGGUGCCUGCUUGGGAUACUGAGAUCUCUACUGGUGCAUGCUGGGGGCAUUGAGCUCUCUACUGGUGCCUGCUUGGGGCAUUGAGAUCUCUACUGGUGACUGCUGGGGGCAUUGAGAUCUCGACUGGUGACUGCUGGGGGCAUUGAGAUCUCUACUGGUGACUGCUGGGGACACUGAGAUCUCUACUGGUGCCUGCUUGGGGAACUGAGAUCUCUACUGGUGACUGCUGGAGACAUUGAGAUCUCUACUGGUGACUGCUGGAGACAAUGAGAUCUAUACUGGUGACUGCCGGGGGCACUGAGAUCUCUACAGGUGCAUGCUGGGGGCGCUGAGAUCUCUACUGGUGCAUGCUGGGGAAGUUGAGAUCUCUACUGGUGACUGCUGGGGACACUUAGAUCUCUACUGGUGACUGCUGGGGACACUGAGAUCUCUACUGGUGACUGCUGGAGAUAUUGAGAUCUAUGCUGGUGCCUGCUGGGGAAGUUGAGAUCUCUACUGGUGACUGCUGGAGACAUUGAGAUCUCUACUGGUGACUGCUGGAGAUAUUGAGAUCUAUACUGGUGCCUGCUGGGGAAGUUGAGAUCUCUACUGGUGACUGCUGGAGACAUCGAGAUCUAUACUGGUGCCUGCUGGGGGAGUUGAGAUCUCUACUGGUGCCUGCUGGGGACACUGAGAUCUCUACUGGUGACUGCUGGGGACACUGAGAUCUCUACUAGUGACUGCUGGGGGCAUUGAGAUUUCUACUGGUGCCUGCUGGGGACACUGAGAUUUCUACUGGUGCCUGCUGGAGACAUUGAGAUCUAUACUGGUGACUGCUGGGGGCAUUGAGAUCUCUACUGGUGCCUGCUGGGGGAUUGAGAUCUCUACUGGUGACUGCUGGAGACAUCGAGAUCUAUACUGGUGCCUGCUGGGGGAGUUGAGAUCUCUACUGGUGCCUGCUGGGGACACUGAGAUCUCUACUGGUGACUGCUGGGGACACUGAGAUCUCUACUAGUGACUGCUGGGGGCA